ensembl:lncRNA
UUCAUGAUGUUGCAACGCUACAUCGGGGAGUCAGUCAUCUAUGAGAAAGGUCAGUGUGUGUGUGUGUACACAUUUGUUUGGUCACCUUUUGUUAGUGUGAGUGAUUAACUCUGUAUUCUGUAGCCUUAGUGAUCUUGAAGGCGAUCAAGAAGAGAGAGAACAUGGGAGACCUGAUGCCCAUGCUACCACCUGGCAAGAAACUGGUUCCCUCCAGUUCGAUCAGAGACCAGAGCCAGACUACCCCAGAACCUGCCCCUACAUCUGUAGGAGAGGAGAAACCGACCAGGAAAGAGACUGACAAAGACAAUGAGACCGAGAUGGACAGAGAGGCCACCCCAGAAACCAUUCAAAUGACCCAGGAGACUGGGGUGGAAGUGGACAAACGCAUUGGCAAAGAAACCUGCAGUGACCCCAGUAAAGACACUGGCAGAGAGACCAGUAAAGACACUGGCAGAGAGACCAGUAAAGACACUGGCAGAGAGACCAGUAAAGACACUGGCAGAUGAGACAGUAAAGACACUGGCAGAGCAGACACCAGUAAAGACAACUGGCGAGAGAGAGAGCCAGUAAAGACACUGGCAGAGAGACCAGGCGAGAGACCAGUAAAGACACUGGCAGAGAGACCAGUAAAGACAAUGGCAGAAGACCAGUAAAGACACUGGCAGAGGACCCAGUAAAGACACUGGCAGAGAGACCAGUAAAGACACUGGCAGAGAGACCAGUAAAGACACUGGCAGAGAGACCAGUAAAGACACUGGCAGAGAGACCAGUAAAGACACUGGCAGAGAGACAGUUGUAAAGACACUGGCAGAGAGACCAGUAAAGACACUGGCAGAGAGACCAGUAAAGACACUGGCAGAGAGACCAGUAAAGACACUGGCAGAGAGACAAUAACAAAAGCUAGUCAAGAGACCCGAAAGGACAGCAGGAGCAGAGGGAAAGAUAAGGAGGCGGAAAAGAUAAUCAAGGAGAUGGAGACUGGCAAAAAAGAGACCAGUACAGAGACUCGCAAAAAGUUAGGGAGUAAGACUAGAAACAUGACAGUCCAUGAGACCAGCAAAGACACUGGGAAAAUGACCAGUACAGAGACUGUUAAGGAGACUGAGAGAGAGACUAGCACAGACAUGGAGAGAGAGACCUGUAGAGCUGUUAGUAUAGUGGCCAGUAGAAUCAGCAAUAGAGAAACCAAAAAAAAGCCAGAGACUUGUAAAACACCUGAAAAGAAGACCAAUACUCAGACUGUGAAAGAAAAAACUAAAGUGACUCCUCCCCCCAUCUCCCCUCCAACCACUAAUCUGUGGGAUUUCCUGAAGAGGCAGAACCGAGGAGCUGUGAUUGGUCUGAGUGCACUCAUCGAGUGCCACAGUCACGGCCAGCCCCCCCUCUACCUCUGCCAGGUGUGUGGGUGUAAAGUCUUCCAGAACGCCAUCAUCGUCCAUGUAACCACAGACUGCCACCGGCUUUCCUACCUGAGGUCGCUGAAGACAGUGGUUGUCCCCAAAGGGAACCAGCUCCAUAAGAAGUUGAGGAGAGCUGCCUUGAAGCUGGAGAGGACCAUGGGAUAUGGAGAGGCUGAGGUAACGGAGUUGGAUGCACACACUUACAAUUUUGUUGCAGAAAGAUCCUUUGCCAUUGGCCUGAACAUUGUAAUGAAGGUCAUAAAUGGUGACCCUUCACCUGACCCCCUACUGUUGGUCAGCCCUAAACCCCCUGACCCCUCACCCCAGGUCAGCCCUGACCCCUCACUCCAGGUGUCAGAGGUCAGCAACCCCACCAUGACCUCUACAGCUCUGUGGUCCUACCUGAAUGCCUCCACCAGGACACAGCCUGUCAUCGGUAAGUGUGUGUUAUUGUUUAAUGUGCACUUCAUAGUUAACUUUUGA